AUCGCUUCUCGGCCUUUUGGCUAAGAUCAAGUGUAGAAUCAGGUGACCCCUGUGAAAGGGUCGUUUGACCCCCAAAGGGGUCAUGACCCACAGGUUGAGAACCGCUGCCCCAUAGCCACUCACUCCAGGCUGAUCUGCAUGAGGUGCCUGUGCAUUGUCAAGGCCAGCUCAUGAUGCUGA
rnacentral:snRNA from 1 species